GUUAGUUCAGUAGCGUGGAUGGAGAAUAACGCGUGGCUGGAGGAACAAUUGAAAAAUGGAUAAGAUAAUACAACAAAAGGAUAAUCAAAUUAUGAAGCUGCAGGCCCAAUUAUUGGAACAACACAAAAUAUUAGAUAACAGCAAAGCUAAGGAUGCUCAAAUUUUGAGUCUACAAGCUCAGCUAGGGG